GUGCUUGCUCUGGCACUACAUACACUAAAAUUGGAAUGACACAGAGAUUAGCGUAGCUCCUGCAUAAGGGAUGACACCCAACUUUGUGACAAAUUCCAUAAUUUU